AGUAAAGUACCUUAAAUAAAGGAGUACCUUGAUACGGUAAAUAUGCUUAUAACCUUUACUU
rnacentral:tRNA from 1 species